ensembl:lncRNA
CUGGGACUUAAACAGCCUUUUCAUAUUUCAUAGAUUGUGUCGCUGUGCGAUUAGCUAUCAAAGCAGCCGAAGUCAAAUAGAAUGAAUCGGUAGGACCACGUGAUAAUUAUGGAUUAUGUGACAGUGUGGAUAAAAAAAAAAGGGGGGGGCGUUGCAGUAUUCACCAUCAGUAUGGAAACACACAUUUCUCCAAGGAGCAGCUUCUUGUAUGUGUAGCCUUUGGCACAUUCUUGCUAAAAUGAGGGAUUCCACAUCUCCGAACUCUUACCUGGAUUUCGCCUCUAAAACCGGAUCAGCUACCACGCCCUAACCUGCAUUCAACUUCCUGUCUACCUGGACACCUGCAUCCAUCUGCACGCCAUUCUCCCUGCCAGAACUCCGUCCAUACUCACCUUAUACGCUUUUCUGUUUGACCAUUAAACCACCA